UACGGGGGGGGCAAGCGUGGUUCGGAAUUACUGGGCGUAAAGGGCUCGUAGGCGGCCAACUAAGUCAUACGUGAAAUCCCUCGGCUUAACCGGGGAACUGCGUCUGAUACUGGAUGGCUUGAGUUCGGGAGAGGGAUGCGGAAUUCCAGGUGUAGCGGUGAAAUGCGUAGAUAUCGGGAGGAAUACCGAUGGCGAAGGCAGGUCUCUGGGCUGACACUGACGCUCAUGCACGAAAGCGUGGGGAGCAAACAGG
rnacentral:rRNA from 1 species